ensembl:rRNA 5S_rRNA 5S ribosomal RNA
GCUUACGGCCAUACCACCCUGAGCGCGCCCGAUCUCGUCUGAUCUCGGAAGCUAAGCAGGGUCGGGCCUGGUUAGUACUUGGAUGGGAGACCCCCUGGGAAUACCAGGUGCUGUAAGCU